rnacentral:rRNA from 1 species
AUACGAACGAGACUCUAUCCUACUAAGCGGCGAGGCUAUUAGACGGCUGGAUCUUACGCAAGUGUGUUUAAAAUAGACAGGGAAGGACAACGCGAAGGAGCAAUCCGACGCUGCUUCCCUUCGAGCACACAAGUCCGCCGUGGCUGCGCGUUGGUUCGUGCGUGCCUGCGAAGUUUUGUGUCGGGGGAAAACGGGAAGAAAUUCUCUUUCUUCGGCGCAUAUAUCGCGUGGCGUGCGCGUUCUAGCGCGUAGACAAACGUUGUUUCUUCUUAGAGGUAUUGACGACUCUACAUAAGUCGUACGAGACAGAGAGCAAUAACAGGUCUGUGAUGCCCUUAGAUGCCCUGGGCCGCACGCGAGCUACAAUGCCGGGUACAGCGGGUCUUACAUCCUUCUCCGAAAGGAGCGGGUAACCCUCUGAAAGCCCUUCCGAUGUACGCUGUAGAUCGCUUGUCGCGUUCCUACACGAACAUCAUGGCUCGAUUGGGCCUGGGGUUUGCAAUUAUCUCCCACAAACGAGGAAUGCCUUGUAUUGGCUAGUCACUGAGCUUGCAGCGACUCAGUCCCUGCCCUUUGUACACACCCGCCCGUCGCUACUACCGAUUGAGUGUACCAGUGAGAUUCUUGGACUGGCGAACCUUCCUUCUGUACGGAGGUAACCUCCGAGAGAGAGAGGGCGAACGACGGGAAGAGACCCGAACUGGUGCCCCUAGAGGAAGUAAAA